CAUACUUCGCGCGUGGCGAAGCGCCGGGGCGGUGGGCAACCCGAGGCGAGUGGAGCCUGGUCCUGCUGAUCAUUGUUGGAAGCAGACUACAAAGGGAGUGGGGAGGAGACAGACAUGCUGGAGUCGAUGGUGCUGAUGCUGAAAGGUCACAGGAUCUCUUCCAGGAGGAGGAUGACAGAACAGAAGUCUGCCCUAUGAAGACCACAUGAGUAACAGUUCACACAAGUGCCAUCUGUGUUAGCCCAGGACCAAGAAAAAGUCCUCACAGAAGUUAUCUCCAACCAGGCACACUCUGGCAGAGCUGCCUUCUGGAUCAAGCCAGCUGCACUGAGUUUUGGUCAACUGCAUCUGAAGAGUUCUAGGUAAUAUGUGAAGAUGGUCCUUAAAGUGCUCUAGAAGUCUAGCUCUUUCCAGAACCCCCAGGUUGCCAUUACCUAAGAACACACUGUGGAGACAGAGGCCUGCUUACUGAAGAGCAACAAGAAGCAAGGUGCACUUACACUGACAUAAUCUUUCAGGAUAUAGCGUGCAGACCGAGGUUGGUCUGGCUGACCAUGUGCCGUCAUGAAUCCUCGCAUAUCUGUGAAGAGAAAUGAAUUUUGCAAAACCUAAGCUAGAAGACAAAACAUCACAACAAAGUCAAAUGAGGUGUUUCAGUGAUUCCAUUGUAUCUUCCACACUGUGGAUGAAGGUGAACAUCAGACAGAUACUUUAAUCAUCACAACAUGUAAGUAUUUAAAAAUUGUAGUAACUUAUUAGCAAGUUUCUAUCUUGCUAGCUAAAAACUGUAAAUGGGUUAACAAGCUACUAAAACUCUUAAAUUACUCUUAGAUUCAGGGUGAGACAACAUCCAGUCUUUCCCCUCUGAUUCUCCUCCAACACCAUCAAUACAUCUGAAAUUUCAUGUUGUGUCAGAUCAAACAGGAUUAUAUAAAGGAUUCAAGGAAGGUC